GCUGCCUCUAGAAAUAUUACAGGUGUGGCUAUUGUGUGACUUUUGCAACCAUAGGUGGCAGAGAGGAGAAAGGCAAUGUCCAUACUUAGUAAUGUGAUCUAUGAACAUCUGAAUGAUUAGUAGCCUAACAUU